rnacentral:misc_RNA from 1 species
GAUGAAGAACGCAGUGAAAUGCGAUAAGUAAUGUGAAUUGCAGAAUUCAGUGAAUCAUCGAAUCUUUGAACGCACAUUGCGCCCGCCAGCAUUCUGGCGGGCAUGCCUGUUCGAGCGUCAUUUCAACCCUCGAGCCCCCCCGGGGGCCUCGGUGUUGGGGGACGGCACACCAGCCGCCCCCGAAAUGCAGUGGCGACCCCGCCGCAGCCUCCACUGCGUAGUAGCACACACCUCGCACCGGAGCGCGGAGGCGGUCACGCCGUAAAACGCCCAACUUUCUUAGAGUUGACCUCGGAUCAGGUAGGAAUACCCGCUGAACUUAAGCAUAUCAAUAAGCGGAGGA